AAGGGCCAUGCGGACACUCCGGUUCCGGGCGCCGUCCGCACCCACCUGACGACUGCUCGCAACAUGGCGUCAGCC
rnacentral:sRNA from 2 species